rnacentral:rRNA from 1 species
ACGCACGCUGGCGGCUUGCUUAACACAUGCACGUCGAACGGAAAGGCCCUGCUUUUGUGGGGUGCUCGAGUGGCGAACGGGUGAGUAACACGUGAGUAACCUGCCCUUGACUUUGGGAUAACUUCAGGAAACUGGGGCUAAUACCGGAUAGGAGCUCCUGCUGCAUGGUGGGGGUUGGAAAGUUUCGGCGGUUGGGGAUGGACUCGCGGCUUAUCAGCUUGUUGGUGGGGUAGUGGCUUACCAAGGCUUUGACGGGUAGCCGGCCUGAGAGGGUGACCGGCCACAUUGGGACUGAGAUACGGCCCAGACUCCUACGGGAGGCAGCAGUGGGGAAUAUUGCACAAUGGGCGGAAGCCUGAUGCAGCAACGCCGCGUGCGGGAUGACGGCCUUCGGGUUGUAAACCGCUUUCGCCUGUGACGAAGCGUGAGUGACGGUAAUGGGUAAAGAAGCACCGGCUAACUACGUG